AGAGUUUGAUCCUGGCUCAGGAUGAACGCUGGCGGCGUGCCUAACACAUGCAAGUCGAACGUGAGCUUUACUUCGGUAAAGUGAAAGUGGCGAACGGGUGAGUAACACGUAGGUGACCUGCCCCGAGACGGGGGAUAACUCUGGGAAACCAGAGCUAAUACCCCAGAUGUUCAAGCGGUUAGAGGGUUUGAACUAAAACCUUGGUGUCUUGGGAGGGGCCUGCGGGCUAUCAGCUAGUUGGUGGGGUAAAAGCCUACCAAGGCGAAGACGGCUAGGGGGCGUGAGAGCGCGAUCCCCCACAAGGGAACUGAGAAACGGUCCCUACUCCUACGGGAGGCAGCAGUGAGGAAUAUUGAGCAAUGGGCGCAAGCCUGACUCAGCAACGCCGCGUGGAUGAAGAAGGCCUUCGGGCUGUAAAAUCCUUUUCUGCGGGACGAUAAUGACGGUACCGCAGGAAUAAGUUCCGGCUAACUACGUGCCAGCAGCCGCGGUAAAACGUAGGGGACAAGCGUUAUCCGGAUUUACUGGGCGUAAAGCGCCCGUAGGCGGCCUGCCAAGUUGGCUGUGAAAGCUCCCGGCUUAACUGGGAGAGGUCAGACAAAACUGGCAGGCUAGAGGCUGAAAGAGGAGAGCGGAAUUCCCGGUGUAGUGGUGGAAUGCGUAGAGAUCGGGAGGAACACCAGUGGCGAAAGCGGCUCUCUGGAUCAGCCCUGACGCUGAGGGGCGAAAGCGUGGGGAGCGAACGGGAUUAGAUACCCCAGUAGUCC
rnacentral:rRNA from 1 species